UCGGGAAUUUUGGGCAAUGGGCGAAAGCCUGACCCAGCAACGCCGCGUGAAGGAUGAAGUAUUUCGGUAUGUAAACUUCGAAAGAAUAGGAAGAAUAAAUGACGGUACUAUUUAUAAGGUCCGGCUAACUACGUGCCAGCAGCCGCGGUAAUACGUAGGGACCAAGCGUUGUUCGGAUUUACUGGGCGUAAAGCGCGUGUAGGCGGGUCGUUAAGUUGGGGGUGAAAUCCCGAGGCUCAACCUCGGAACUGCCUUCAAAACUGGCGACCUGGACCUAAGUAGAGGCAAGUGGAAUUGCGAGUGUAGAGGUGAAAUUCGUAGAUAUUCGCAGGAACACCAGUGGCGAAGGCGACUUGCUGGACUUAUGGUGACGCUGAGACGCGAAAGCGUGGGGAGCAAACAGGAUUAGAUACCCACGUAGUCCCUGAGCGGGCUGGCAAGGCGCAU
rnacentral:rRNA from 1 species